rnacentral:tRNA from 1 species
GCUAUUUUGGCAGAAUCAGUGCAUUAAACUUAGAAUUUAAAUAUAGGGUUACACCUAAAUAGUA